CGAGCGAGUCUGCCUUGAAGAUCGGAGUGCUUGCACUCUGUGAAACAAGGAUACAGGCUAGCGGCGGACGGGUGAGUAACACGUGGGUAACCUGCCCAAGAGAUCGGGAUAACACCUGGAGACAGAUGCUAAUACCGGAUAACAACAGAUGAUGCCUAUCAACUGUUUAAAAGAUGGUUCUGCUAUCACUCUUGGAUGGACCUGCGGUGCAUUAGCUAGUUGGUAGGGUAACGGCCUACCAAGGCGAUGAUGCAUAGCCGAGUUGAGAGACUGAUCGGCCACAUUGGGACUGAGACACGGCCCAAACUCCUACGGGAGGCAGCAGUAGGGAAUCUUCCACAAUGGACGCAAGUCUGAUGGAGCAACGCCGCGUGAGUGAAGAAGGGUUUCGGCUCGUAAAGCUCUGUUGUUGGUGAAGAAGGACAGGGGUAGUAACUGACCUUUGUUUGACGGUAAUCAAUUAGAAAGUCACGGCUAACUACGUGCCAGCAGCCGCGGUAAUACGUAGGUGGCAAGCGUUGUCCGGAUUUAUUGGGCGUAAAGCGAGUGCAGGCGGCUCGAUAAGUCUGAUGUGAAAGCCUUCGGCUCAACCGGAGAAUUGCAUCAGAAACUGUCGAGCUUGAGUACAGAAGAGGAGAGUGGAACUCCAUGUGUAGCGGUGAAAUGCGUAGAUAUAUGGAAGAACACCGGUGGCGAAGGCGGCUCUCUGGUCUGUUACUGACGCUGAGGCUCGAAAGCAUGGGUAGCGAACAGGAUUAGAUACCCUGGUAGUCCAUGCCGUANACGAUGAGUGCNNNGUGUUGGGAGGUUUCCGCCUCUCAGUGCUGCAGCUAACG
rnacentral:rRNA from 1 species